rnacentral:rRNA from 1 species
CCUACGGGAGGCAGCAGUGGGGAAUAUUGCACAAUGGGGGAAACCCUGAUGCAGCGACGCCGCGUGAGUGAAGAAGUAAUUCGUUAUGUAAAGCUCUAUCAGCAGGGAAGAAAAUGACGGUACCUGAGUAAGAAGCCCCGGCUAACGACGUGCCAGCCGCCGCGGGAAUACGUAGGGGGCAAGCGUUAUCCGGAUUUACUGGGUGUAAAGGGAGCGUAGACGGCAGUGCAAGUCUGUAGUGAAAGGCGGGGGCUCAACCCCCGGACUGCUCUGGAAACUGGCCGGCUGGCGUGCAGGAGAGGUAAGUGCAAUUCCUAGUGUAGCGGUGAAAUGCGUAGAUAUUAGGAGGAACACCAGUGGCGAAGGCGGCUUACUGGACUGUAACUGACGUUGAGGCUCGAACGCGUGGGGAGCAAACAGGAUUAGAUACCCUUGUAGUC